UUGGUGCACUUUGCAGCCAACGAGAUUUGGCUCCUUGCGGGAUGACCAUAACGGUGCGUUCUUGCAUCCAUUGUGGGAAACUCGACCUGCGAACGUCGAAGAGAAAACUAAAGUGAGGAUAUCAAGUGCAAGUGCCAGUUGCGAUGAAAAUUUUACUGCUUCCCAUUUUGAAAGAAAAGAGACGACAAGCAAAACACGAACGUUAGUUGGUAAACUUUCUUUGCACCAAAGAACCAAAAAUGUCGAUUCCGACAUUGCAUAUUCAGUAGAGAAAGAAUGGUGGGUGAACGUGUCGCCAAAUUCAUGUCACAGCGAAACUCCACAGAUCGACACAGCAGAAAGCAACAUUUCAGAACUGGACAUUCUACGAAUCGUCACCCCAGAAAACGACACGUCACAACUCGGCACUGCACGAAUCGACAUCGUAGGAUUGGAAGAAGGUAACGAGAGGGAGACGAACGUGUCAGGUGAUGGACAACAAGCAACCGACGAUCCAUCAAAGAGAAAGAGGACUCGUCCAAAAAGGAUAAAAAGAUUUGUACGACAAACGUGCAGACGAAUUUGUUGCAUUUUGUGUCCUUGUGUGUUUGCACACGCUGAUGACUAGCUGCAGAUCGACGAUCGGAGUGUACGAGAGACAUCUAUAACGAGUGGACAAAGAUUGAUUGAGAGAACAAUUUGAUUUGUUGUUUCCUAGUGAUUGACAAUGUUGUGUAGCAAUUUUUGUUGCUUACACAAAUACCCUGCAUGUGCAUACCUACUUGUGUGUGUUUAUGUGUGCAUUUAUGUAUAUGUAUAUACCCUAAUAAAUAUCAAUGAAUGG